GAUGAACGCUGGCGGCGUGCCUAAUACAUGCAAGUCGAGCGAACAGACGCGGAGCUUGCUUCUCUGACGUUAGCGGCGGACGGGUGAGUAACACGUGGAUAACCUACCUAUAAGACUGGGAUAACUUCGGGAAACCGGAGCUAAUACCGGAUAACAUGUUGAACCGCAUGGUUCAACAGUGAAAGACGGUCUUUCUGUCACUUAUAGAUGGAUCCGCGCCGCAUUAGCUAGUUGGUAAGGUAACGGCUUACCAAGGCAACGAUGCGUAGCCGACCUGAGAGGGUGAUCGGCCACACUGGAACUGAGACACGGUCCAGACUCCUACGGGAGGCAGCAGUAGGGAAUCUUCCGCAAUGGGCGAAAGCCUGACGGAGCAACGCCGCGUGAGUGAAGAAGGUCUUCGGAUCGUAAAACUCUGUUAUUAGGGAAGAACAAAUGUGUAAGUAACUAUGCACGUCUUGACGGUACCUAAUCAGAAAGCCACGGCUAACUACGUG
rnacentral:rRNA from 1 species